rnacentral:rRNA from 1 species
UUUAUCAAAAACAUGGCUCCUUGUUAUCCUGUAGAUGGGGAGUCGGACCUGCCCGGUGAAAUUAUUUAACGGCCGCGGUACCCUGACCGUGCGAAGGUAGCAUAAUCAUUUGCCUUAUAAUUGAAGGCUUGUAUGAAUGGUUUGACUUGAACAAAGCUGUCUCUUUAUAAUUUUGUAGAAUUUUAUUUUUAGGUGAAGAAGCCUAAAUAAAAUUAAUAGACAAGAAGACCCUGUCGAGCUUUAAAUAAGUUAAUAGAGUUAUAUUAUAAUAUAUAUAAAAAAAAUUUGACUAUUAAAAAUUUUGGUUGGGGCGACUGAGGAACAAAUAAAGCUUCCUAUGUUUAAUAGAUGUUCGCAUAUUGAUCCAAGUUUUUUGAUUGAAGAAAUUAGUUACCGUAGGGAUAACAGCAUUAUUCUCUUUGAGAGUUCUUAUCGAAAAGAGGGUUUGUGACCUCGAUGUUGGACCAGAAUAUCCUAAAGAUGCAGAAGUCUUUAAGGGUUGGUCUGUUCGACCAUUAAAAUUCUACGUGAUCUGAGUUCAGACCGGCGUGAGCCAGGUCAGUUUCUAUCUUUAAUUUUUUGUGCAAGCUUAGUACGAAAGGACCAGUUUGUAGUAUUAAAUACUAUGGAUGAAGAAAUAUAAUUAAUGCUUGUCAGAUUAGCAAAUUUAAUGCAAUUGAUUUAGGUUCAAUAGAUAUAGGUGAAAGUCCUUUAUUUGACAAAAUAAAGAUGGCAGAUUUAGUGCAUUAGGUUU